rnacentral:rRNA from 1 species
ACAUUUCCUUAAGAUUUAUAUUUAAGGUAGGUUCUGCCCUAUGAUUAUGAAUAUUAAAUUUAAAUGGCUGCAGUAUCUUGACUGUGCAAAGGUAGCAUAAUAAUUAGUUUCUUAAUUAGGGACUUGUAUGAAUGAAUUAAUGAGAUAUUUCUUAUAUUAUAAUUAUAUUUAUAAUUUAAAUUUUAAGUCAAAAUGCUUAAUUUCAUUAUUGGGACGAUAAGACCCUAUAGAACUUUUAAUUGAUUUUUAUUUAUUAUUAUUUAGUUUUUAUAAUUAAAGUAUAAAUUUAUUUUUUACUGGGGUGGUGAAUAAAUACAAACUUUAUUUUUUUUUAUCAUUGUAUUUAUGUUUUUUUUGAUCCAUAAAUUGUGAUUAUAAGAUUAAGUUACCUUAGGGAUAACAGCGUAAUUAUAAUGGAAAGUUCAUAUUUAUAUUAUAGUUUGCGACCUCGAUGUUGAAUUAAGAUAAAAUUAAGGGGUAGGUUCUUUAAUAUUAGGUCUGUUCGACCUUUAAAUUCUUACAUGAUCUG